AUCAGCGUAGUUGUCAACAACAACGUAGUAUGAACUGAGUGUGUGCAUUGUGUAUAGUGUGAGUACAACCAUUUUGCAAGAGUAGUGGAAGUUUGUUAUUCUCUCUCUUCUCUCUUUUCUUCCAUCUUCAUCUUUUUCACCUUGUGCACCAAAAAGAAGUAGCAGGGGUAUCAAUUUGGCUAAAAGAAAAAAUAAUUUGGCUAAUUGCUAUCCUGAAAAUUAAAAAAAAACAACCAUCUUU
rnacentral:lncRNA from 1 species